rnacentral:lncRNA from 1 species
CUGCUAGCCUCUUCCUUUUUCUCAGUCAUUUCUUCCUCACUCAACUGUUUUAUAUGUGGAAGAAGCUCUCUUAGCAAAUAUAGGGAGUGCUCAACGUCAAUCUUCACAUCUCCUUUGGUUUUCAAUUUUCCCGUGUUACUCCCUCUGCGACAUAUAUACACUCUACCCUGCCAAUUAUUUUCAUCAAAGCCAGCAACUCAAUUGGCAACACGCUCAGACAAAAUAUGCAAGUAGUAAUCAAUCAAAAUUAAAUUUAAAGCUAAGAAGACCCAACAAAUAGCCCUA